UCGUCUGAUGUGAUCCUUCGGCCCUACCUCGGAACUGCAUUGGAAACUGGUUUACUUGAGUGCGAUAGAGGACAGUGGAACUCCAUGUGUAGCGGUGAAAUGCGUAGAUAUGUGGAAGAACACCAGUGGCGAAGGCGGCUGUCUAGUUCGUAACUGACGUUGAGGCUCGAAAGUAUGGGUAGCAAACGGGAUUAGAUACCCCGGUAGUCCAUGCCGUAAACGAUGAAUGCUAAUUGUUAAAAGGUUUCCGCCUCUCAGUGACGUAGCUAACGCAUUAAGCACCCCGCCUGAGGAGUACGACCGCAAGGCUAAAACUUAAAGGAAUUGACGGGGACCCGCACAAGCGGUGGAGCAUGUGGUUUAAUUCGA
rnacentral:rRNA from 1 species